rnacentral:rRNA from 1 species
CCCUUAGAUGUUCUGGGCCGCACGCGCGCUACACUGAUGCAUUCAACGAGCACCCGCUGGGCCGAGAGGUCCGGCUAAUCUUUGAACGUGCAUCGUGCUGGGGAUAGAUGAUUGCAAUUAUUCAUCUUCAACGAGGAAUUCCUAGUAAACGCAAGUCAUCAGCUUGCAUUGAUUACGUCCCUGCCCUUUGUACACACCGCCCGUCGCUACUACCGAUUGAAUGAUUUAGUGAGGACUUCGGACUGGGACCGAUGCGGCUUUCGGGCUGCGUCGGUAUUCUGGAAAGAUGUCCAAACUGUAUCAUUUAGAGGAAGUAAAAGUCGUAACA